GCAUUAGCUCAGUUGGCAGAGCAUCCGUCCGGUAAGCGGAAAGUAGCUGGUUAGACUCCGGCUCACUGCA
rnacentral:tRNA from 1 species